rnacentral:rRNA from 1 species
CACGUAGGGUGCGAGCGUUUGUCCGGAAUUAUUGGGCGUAAAGAGCUCGUAGGCGGUGUGUCGCGUCGGCCGUGAAAACCUGCAGCUUAACUGUGGGCUUGCGGGCGAUACGGGCAGACUGGAGUACUGCAGGGGAGACUGGAAUUCCUGGUGUAGCGGUGGAAUGCGCAGAUAUCAGGAGGAACACCGGUGGCGAAGGCGGGUCUCUGGGCGAGUAACUGACGCUGGAGGAGCGAAAGCCGUGGGGAGCGAACAGG